UUUAAAACAUGAAAUAGGAUAGGUAAAAAAUAAUUAAUUAACAGCGAGCUAAGGUCGGUGUAAGCUUAGUAACCCUGAUUAUUUUUUAUAACCCCUAUUUGUCUUUAUUCUGAAAUUUAGUAGGAAUAGACGUUUUUCAUAGCGUUAUCAUGAUUGAGUGGCUCUUUUAUUUAAGAGUAUUUUAGGUGGUACCGCGGAAUAGACCUUUCGUCCUUAUA
rnacentral:ncRNA from 1 species